UCACCCUGCACCUGCAAUUAAGUACAUGGAUAAACUUCAAAUACUAGUCAUGUAGUUUCGCGCUUUCUCACUUUAAUACUUUAUGAUUUAAAAUAUCUCAUUUUUAACAUCUUAUGGUUUUAUUUUUCUCUUUUCAUCAGUACUUUUAUUAACUCCCCAUUAAAUCAUGUAUAAAAAGUACUUCAGAUAUCUCACCUAUGGUUUAUCGAAUAUUCACUCUAGUACUCUAUGGUUUACCAAAUUUUCAUUUCAAUAUUUUAUGGUUUUAACUUUCUCACUGAUUUGAUGACAGAAUUAAUAUAGAAAAUAACAGAAAGAGAAAAAUAAAAUCACAAAAUACUAAAAUGACAUAUUUUAAACCAUAAAAUACUAAAAUGAAAAAGCGCAAAACCACAUAGAUGAUCUUUGAAGUUUUUCUUAAAUAUAUAUAGAUUCGAUAUUUCGAGAUUUAGAUA
rnacentral:lncRNA from 1 species